AACGAACGCUGGCGGCAUGCCUAACACAUGCAAGUCGAACGAGACCUUCGGGUCUAGUGGCGCACGGGUGCGUAACGCGUGGGAACCUGCCCUUAGGUUCGGAAUAACUCCUCGAAAGGGGUGCUAAUACCGGAUAAUGUCUUCGGACCAAAGAUUUAUCGCCUUUGGAUGGGCCCGCGUUGGAUUAGCUAGUUGGUAGGGUAAAAGCCUACCAAGGCGACGAUCCAUAGCUGGUCUGAGAGGAUGAUCAGCCACACUGGGACUGAGACACGGCCCAGACUCCUACGGGAGGCAGCAGUGGGGAAUAUUGGACAAUGGGCGAAAGCCUGAACCAGCAAUGCCGCGUGAGUGAUGAAGGCCUUAGGGUUGUAAAGCUCUUUUACCCGGGAUGAUAAUGACAGUACCGGGAGAAUAAGCUCCGGCUAACUCCGUG
rnacentral:rRNA from 1 species